CAUUUGAGAGAACAAUUGCUAGGUUGUUUGGCCACGUUUGCUGCUAUGAAUGAGGCUUAAGAAAAGGUGUCUUUGGAUUGCUACUAAUAGUCAUCUUCAUCAUUCCUGCUCUCUCUCUCUCUCUCUCUCUUUCUCAGUUCCCUUAUGAAAUAAGGGCACACAGGUAAUAAACAAAGCACUAUAAAAGAUCAGAUUGAGGUAUUCUGUGGGCUCAUUUAAUGUCUGGAGAAAGCAUUCUGCACUCCACCGCUGUGCUUUCGGCCUUCAAAAGCAGCUUCGAGACUGAGGAAUCGUAGGCAGGAUUAGAUUGAGACCCGGGAGUUCUACAACCUUGCUGAAUUUAAAAGGACCAUGUCCUUGGUCGGCUAAACCACACGCGAUGGCCAAGGGGCAGAGAAAUACAUGGCAGGGUAGAGACUCUUGGACUUACUCAUUUGGAUUUUGGAGUUUUACCUGACUUGGUCAAGCCUCAUGCCAGAUCCGGGUAAAAAUGGUGAUACCUUUGGAAAUCCAACAGCAGCUUCAAGAGUCAACUAUACCGGCAAUCCCUAAAGUUGGAGAAUUUAUGCCCAUGGAAAAGUCUGUUGCGUUUCACAAACCGUGAGGCUGAGGAAUAGAGCUAGUUCCUGCAGCAGAACAAAAUGUGGUCAAAGAAGGAGGAGGAUCAAUGGCCUCUUUUCC